GCCGGGGUGGUGGAACGGUAGACACGGCGGACUUAAAAUCCGCUGCUCGAGAGGGCGUGUGGGUUCGACUCCCACCCCCGGCACCA
rnacentral:tRNA from 1 species